AUUGAACGCUGGCGGCAGGCUUAACACAUGCACGUCGAACGAGUGGCGGACGGGUGAGUACUGUCUGGGAAACUGCCUGAUGGAGGGGGAUAACUCCUGGAAACGGUAGCUACUACCGCAUACCAUCAGAUGUGCCCAGAUGGGAUUAGCUAGUAGGUGGGGUAAUGGCUCACCUAGGCGAAGGUCCGUAGCUGGUCUGAGAGGAUGACCAGCCACACUGGAACGGAGACACGGUCCAGACUCCUACGGGAGGCAGCAGUGGGGAAUAUUGCACAAUGGGCGCAAGCCUGAUGCAGCCAUGCCGCGUGUAUGAAGAAGGCCUUCGGGUUGGAAAGUACUUUCAGCGGGGAGGCGUUACCCGCAGAAGAAGCACCGGCUAACUCCGUGCCAGCAGCCGCGGUAAUAC
rnacentral:rRNA from 1 species